CGUCUUUGAAGCUGGUCUAG
rnacentral:snRNA from 1 species